CCGGACGGAAGGGCGGGGCUUGCGGCGGAAGUCCCGCCUCCUGUCGGGUCACGUGAGGGGCUGGACGCGAGAGCAGGAAUCAUGGCACUCUGGCGGGCAUACCAGCGAGCCCUGACUGUUCACCCGUGGAAAGUACAGGUCCUGACAGCUGGGUCCCUGAUGGGCCUGGGUGACAUUAUCUCACAGCAGCUGGUGGAGAGGCGAGGUCUGCGGGAACACCAGACUGGCCGGACCCUGACCAUGGUCUCUGUGGGCUGUGGCUUUGUGGGCCCCGUAGUGGGAGGCUGGUACAGGGUUUUGGACCGGCUCGUCCCUGGCACCACCAAGGUAGAUGCGCUGAAGAAGAUGCUGUUGGAUCAGGGGGGCUUUGCCCCUUGUUUUCUAGGCUGUUUCCUCCCACUGGUAGGAGCACUCAACGGACUGUCAGCCCAGGACAACUGGGCCAAGCUACGGCAGGACUAUCCUGAUGCCCUCAUCACCAACUACUAUGUAAGCGAUGACACCGCCCCUGCCCGUCCUGCUUUCUUGAGUCCAGACGUGCCCGGGAUGGGGGUCCUCCUGACAUAGAAGCCCCUCCGUUGGGAUGAGUGGGCACCACACUCAGGGAAGCACUCACUCGGCUGCUCACCUUGUUCUUGUCUGCAGAAGUCGGAGUGAGACCAGGCAGUAAGACAGGAUCUGCCCCCACCCAUCGAAGAAGAUGCAUAAGGCGAUUCUCCUUUCAACCUCGAAUCACGUUAGAGCCUCCCAGAACACUUCCCCAGCCGCAGCGCCUCACACUCUCAAGCAUUUUAUUCAGAACCUCUUAUCCAUUACAGAGCCUGUCCCAGCACCUGCCCACUGACCAUCUUUCAUCUUCCUGGAGAGGCUCCUGCUCCACAGCCCUGUCUCCGUCCCACCUGAGCUCCCACCUUUGAUGGCAUAUCUGCAGGGACAGUGCCUGGGGUGGGGGUGGGAGGCAACAGCCUAGGUUAGGCAGAAGGGUAGACGGAAGAGCCAAGUGGGAACCUGGCCAGGUUAGUCCACUGCAGAGUAUUACUUUACCCGAGUAAUAAAGGUAGUUGCUGAAACCACAGUAAAAAUAUAGUGGAACUCAAGGUGAGUAGUUGAAACUAUUGGGGAUGAAGGGAUUUGGAGAACAGGGAAAAAUAUGAACUCUUCAGAGGGGACAGAGUCGACAUUGACAUGAAUAGCAUAGCUUAAAGGAAGAAUUGGGGAGCAGAUUCUCAACAUUAGGGUCUUUGCAACACUCUUUGAAACUAGAGGAAGGUAAAUUUACAAUAAGGAGAAGGAGGUGCCACUUUACAUGGCAGGCAGCGCAGUUUUGGAAGAUAAAAUCCCAGCUGGUAUAAGACAGACAGACACGUGUAGUCAGAAGGAGCCUGGACAGGAGUGAAUCAGAGCCACACUUGGCAAGAUGAGGGUGUUCAACUUUGAGGCUCUUGUCCAGCAGACAGAGCUCUGGGGCAGUGCCAGACCCCAACCUGCUUGUCCUCCGGUCUGAGCCACACGUCCCUCCAGGGCUGAAGGAAGGAGACCUGAAUGUGGACGUUCUCAGAGACAAGCCCUCCUUUUCUGUUGCACUUUCCUAGCUCUCCCCGCCCCCUUGCUUGCUCCCCAUUCUUCACCAUCUUCACGCCGCCCCUCCUGUC